GAAAAAUCUUCUUAAAAAAUGAAAAUGCUAUAGACAAUGUAUUUAACCUUAGAAAAUGGGAAGUCCAUGAAAGAAAGAAAGCAUUUGCUGCUUUAGCAAAACUAUUUUAUUCCGGAGGACAGUUUCUGCCAGUAUAUGUAUGAAAACUCCCAAUAAGUUUUAAAAUGAUGGAUCUUGACUAACUUAGCUCUAAUUUAUAAGGGCUUUUUUGUUGCUGUUAGAAACCUAUAUGCUUUUGUUAAUGCAACUCUCUAGAAAGCACCUCAAUUUCAUAAAAUUACAGCUUUUUUUAAGUGCAUAGUGUCAUUUUGUUUUUUUAAAAUCAAGUUUUGGCUUUAAAAAAAGUGAAUAAAAAUUAACAUUUCAAACUCAAUUCUCCAAAGGCAUGCAGUGAUAAAUACUCAGUCAAGGAUGCCCUUGAAUGAAGAGGUGACCUCUUGUUUCAAGUUGAGUAAAACCAUCGUAACAACUGCUCUGUGUGGAGAGCAGCUAUGAGCUCUACGUACCGUGCCUCACUGAGCACCCCAGCCACACUGUGUUCCUGUCAUUAUCCCCCUUUUCGUCUAUGUAGCAGCUAGGCUCCAAGAGCGUAGGUCACCAGGAACAGUCAGACAGCUGGUGAGUGGCCAGGCUGAGUUUUAUCCUAGUAUCAUGUGACAUCAAAACUUGUGAGCCAAAAUGUUCCUCAUGAUAUGACAAAGACUUACAAGCUGUGUCAUUAUUCUCCAAGGGUGAGACUGAUUAAUCCACUGACCUCAGCCUUAGACACUGAAAAGAUAAAAAGAGAAAGUCACUGCACUUUAUUAAAUGCAUCCUUUCAUUUUACUCUCACAACAAGCCUGUGUGAUAAGGAUAUUUGGAUAUUUAUCCUCUUCCACUGCUGAGGGAACUGAGCGCCUGAGAGGUGAAGCAGCUUGCCUGGGGUCCCAAUUGCCUCUUUAGGUAUUCAGAUGCCAUAAGAAGGGAUGAAAGUCCAAGUCUUCGUAGCUGGCCUCACUGGAGGAGAGAACCGUUAUUUCUUUGUACCUGUUUAGAAAGCCGAACUUUGCCGCGUGUUUGCUGUGUGCUUGACAGUGGUCAGCGCGUCGAGGAGUACUCCCGUUCACUCCAUGUGACAGCCCUGUGAAGGACAGUCACUGCCCUGGCCUCUCCGGGCCUCUUGUUUUCACCCUUGAGCAGAGAUGGACUGGGCUUCAGGGCACCGGCAGGUAUAAUGACAGUCUCAGGAACACGCUGGAACUGGAGAGUGCAAGUCCAGCCUAAGGGCAUUCAAAUUCUGACUAUUUAAAACCCCCUCCUGGGCCAAACAAGCCUGUCUGCUGCCUUGUUUAUUCCCCAGUGUGGGUUCCUCACCCCUGUCUAGAGGGAUGGUAAGGGACACGACCCGGAGUGUGUGCUACUCGGUUUACCAAGCCUGGUGAUGUCUUUCAUACUCUUACUUUAAAAUAAUACCAUUGAGCCUCCCAACUUGGGUCUUCCAAAACCAUCCAUUCCACUUUCCUGCAGGUUCUAAAGUAGCUACACACAGUGCUCAUGUUAUUACAAGCCCUUUAAUUGUUAUUAAUUGCCAUUGGAGGUGAUGAUAAUUAACACACUGUAAUGAAGUGCUAGCCCAUGUACUGGCAUGUGUAUUUAACCUAUGCCUGUCUGAGGAGAGCAAUAACUUCGACAGAGACCUUCAGGCCGUGGUGCUGAAGAGGAGGCAGGGGUGUACGAGUUAAUCUGGAGACCCACAAGCCUUGGGCCACUUCUUCUGCGGGAAGAUCUCAUUGCCUGUGGCCUUGCCUUCCUGCUUCUGUCAGCUCCUCCGGCUCCCUGCUGCCAAGCCGGCUUCGCUUGAUCAGAACAGCAGGCUCCUUUGAUGACAUGCCAGCACGGGCUUCAAACACCAAUUACCAUGCCGCCGAUGACAAAUACGAAGGGAAGAAAAGCAGCAAUGAUCGUUUAAUAAAUUUAUUAUGAAGACAAAUGGCCUUUACAUAAAUCACCCUGCCUUAUUGUUGAAAAACCUUGCUUAUUCUGACAUGGAGACAACAAGGGUUAAUUUCCAAAUCUUGGCAGCCCAACCCCUGAGUGGCCUUAGGAAGACUUUGAGUAAUCCCCAUGCCCUGAAACCAGCGGACCCUGUAGUGAGGGUCCCCAGAAUAAUGACAGCUUUUCUGGACUGCAAGAUACUGAAAGGUGAGGGUCAUUUUAAGUCUUCACGCCACGUGAAAACUUCUAAUAAAGAGCCCAAAUGGGGCGGCUAAGAAGUGCGCUGACAAGCACUGUGUGUGUGCUUGGCAAGCAUUCUGUUACACACCCGCAGAGACAAUUGCAUCCAGUCCUUAUAAGAUUACACAGGGGCAACGACGGAGCAGCAAAAUGCUUAAGAACAUCCGCUUCAGAAUCAGAUAGUCCUCAUUCAAGUCCAGAAUCCACCGACCUUAGCUCUGUGAUCGUGGCCAACUUACUGAACCUGUCUAAGUCUCAGUUCCCUAGUCCACAAAGCAGAGAAGAAUAGUAGCUACUACACAGAUUUGUUGUAAGGAUUAGUCAAAUAAUAUGUGAUAAAUACUUAUCACAGAAAACAUUCCGCCUGUUGUCACGAAGUUAGUUAUCAUUUCCCCGCUUGACCGGUAGAAAAGUACAAGCUCAGCAACAUUUAGCAUCUCGUCCACAGACACACAGCUAAGAGUGCAGCCUUGAUGCAAACGCACGUCUGUGCCCAUCUCCCUGCCUUUGCCUAAACCCUAAGGUUUCACAUCGGUGGGCAUUGCCAAGGUCUCCAGCGGCAGAGUUUACUGGGGAAAAUAAUGCCUUAAAGUUGCCUUCAUCUCAUUCGAAACCAAGAGUCAGGAGCGCCCCUUUCCUCCAGGCCAGCUGCCCUCGAAUUAAUAGAAAAAGUUAACAACUUCAAAAUGUAUCAUUAAAGAUACAGGAGAAUUGUUUCUGAAAUUGGUUGUAAACAUGCACACUCACCUUGGUUCUAUUUCUUUCUUUCUGCUGUUGCAUGUUUUUCAAAUACUUGCAUAUGAGAGCCUGCGGCCCCCUCCAGUUUUGUGUCACCCCUGAUUGCCCACACUGUCAGGAUACUUGCAGGACGUUAGGGGCGUUUGACUUUGGACCCUACUGCCGAGGCCUGCCAGGUGGGCUUCGGCUUGUUUUGGUCUAUGUUUGUGUCUCUACAUACAAAUAGCUCAAGAAAAGUGCACAGAAGAUUGAAUUUGGUUAAGCAGCAGGUAGUUCGACAAAGCUUACUUCUCACUAAAGAAAGAUUUGAGGUCCUACUAUGUGUCAGGCAGUGGACUUGGCAAUUAGGUCACACAAAUGAGGGAAGCACUCCUACUUUGGAAGUGGGCUGUGAUCGCCUUCAAGGGCGUCAGCCACCGUUGGCAGUGGGACUGUCCUUCACCCCCAGGAGCUGCCGCAGCUGGUCAGUGAGGUCGGCGGCGUGCCUGCUGGUGUGGCUGUGCCGACACGGACACGGACACGGGGCCACAGUGCUGGGCUGCACACUCACCUGCCAGGAGGGCCGUGGCAUCGCCCGCUCUCCUUCUGUCCGGUCUCUUUCUGUCUUCAGCCAAAACCCUCUUGGGGAGAAUCUCAGUUUCACCCUCAACUCUCAGCAGAAAUUGGAAAUCCUGAAUAAGCCUCGCUUGUUAGAAAUUUAAAAAGUAAUGGCAGGUGUAGGGAGCGCUCUUCAAUGAAGAGGCUACCGGCUUGUCAUUCCCUCACAAGAGAAAUAAAAUUGUUCAGCCAAAAAAUGACCUUUUAUCUUUUUCAGGCCAAACCCCCCCCUCUCAAGACACAUACACACACACACACACACGCACACACGACCAGGCCUUUGAACUCGAGCCAGAAGGUGGGUCUGAGAAACCAGGACAGUCUGACUUGUCUCGUCAGUGAGGAGGCGCGCUCCGGAGCAGAAGGCAGGGACAACGAAAGCUCUGCCUUCUUCUGUCGCUAAUGAUUCAGAGCAGCAGGUGUGUCUGCCGAGCUCCCGCGUCUAGACCCCGAGCUGGCGGCACUGCCGCUGCCUGUCCUCCCCCUCUCCUCCUGUCCAGCUCUCUCCUCUCUGGGGCUGUGCCUGCACCCCGCUCCUGCUGCUGCCUUUCUAAGAGGGAUGCUGGGUGCUGGCAGACCCCACACAGAGCCGCGUGGGGGGCAUGAGGUUUGCUAUGUCAUCCCCAUGACACACCUGUAAAGACUACAUCAUCUCCAUUUUACAGAUGAGGAAAUCAAGACUCAGAAAGACUAGGAGAAUUUCACAGGACGACCCUGCUGUGUGGCAAGCUUGGAUCUUGUCCCAGGCCUGAGUGACCUCAAAGCCUCUUGCUCUCCAUGAGAAAUUUCAGGAGGAGAGAAGGGAGAUUCCAAAGCUUAAGAUGAGGGCAGCUGGUGGGGAUAGUGUGAAGAGGAGGGGAGGAGCGUUACAAACCUCCCCCACGUCACCACUGUCUACAAGCUCUUCUCAGCUCGAGCUCCCUUCAAUCCAUCCCCUUGCCCUCACUCUCACCCCCUGGUCUGCUAAGAGAGGGAUUUGGGGGUCUAUCCCCUUAUGGCACACACUGAUUUCUGUGCAGAUUUGAAAAGUCUGGCUCACUUAUCAUCAGUCAUUUGUUGGAUAAGCAUUUUUGGAACAUUAACCUCAUACAAAACUAGCAUAUUUUCAGGGGUCCUGAAAGCAAGUCUGGAGGGUAGGGACCUAUCUUUCUUGCCCAAUCCUGUAAGCAUUGGUUGAAUGAAGGAUUCCCUUCCUCCUGACCCCAUGUCUAUCUAUCUAUCUAUCUAUCUAUCUAUCUAUCUAUCUAUCUAUCUAUCUAUAUCUAUACAAGAAAGUGUAUUGGGACAUGCCACCCCAUCAUCUGUUGGAGAACUAAAGGGCCUCGUGUGAAAAGCCCACAUCCCUUUCCAGACCUAGAAACUCUUCUGCAAGUCCCCACCCCGGCUUUCCCCUGGGGCUGUCUCACCUGGCACAGGACAGAGAAACAAAUGCCCCAGCAUCUCCUUUUUGGAUGACUUUGAAGACAAGUCCACAAACCUACUUUUGAAGGAAUUACCACUGGUCCCUGUUAGAAGCAGACAGAUAUAACAAAGCAGCAAAUGAAGUGAACUUGAGGAUUCUGGGGUCUUCCAAACCUCUCCCACCAUCGUCCUCAUCACCAACUCGAUCCUCCUUGCUGUGACGAGGUCUGGCAGCCUUGCUCUCCUGUUCUGUGUCUCAGGGUGGAGUUCACUAAUUCUUAGCCCUCGGUCAGAAUCUCAUCCUGCUCUGGCCCCAGCCCUGGACCCCGCCCUCCUUGACACUGUUACCUCCAUUUUCCAAGGAGGAAGUCUGGUAGUCUGACAAAACCAGGAUUAUCCUCCCUGGCCCUGAAGUGCAUCUCAAGAGACUUUAGUCAAGUUAUGCCAUCUCUCCAAAGCUCUGAUUCUUUAUCCAUAAAAUGGGGGGCCUAAUGGAUGGAAGGGGAUAAGGUGAAUAAUGCUCCCAGCACAGCACUGGCACAUACCAGGUUCUCAGUAAAAGUAAGGUCACUCUCUUUGUUUCUCACCUCACAGGACUGUCCCUUAAAACCGCUGUUUUGCUACCUGUUUCACAGAUGCUUGUCCUGCUGGAUGCUCUAUGAAGAAAAGGCUCUGGAACUGCCACAUGUCAUAUUCCUGUCCUAAGGGAUAUUAACACUUUAGCUUCUGAGGAGUGCUGCAUUAAAUAAGUCAGUUUAUCCCAUUUUUUCUCAAUGACACUUGACAAAAUGGACACAUUUAUUUAGCAGACACUUAGCACACUGUUUGUGCUAUACAAAGGCUAACUCAUUGAGUUCUCAUGACAACUCUAUAAAGUGAGAUAUUACUGUUAUCCUCGUUUUGAAAGAUGACAGAACCAUGGCACAGAGCAGUUAAGUCAUUUGCCCAAGGUCACACAGUUGUUGCCGAGCCAGGUCUGGAACACAGUCUGCCUCCAGAAUCUAAACCCUUAGCCACUCUACUCAGAGGCCUCUCCAGUUUAAAAAAUACACACACACACCCCCAUAUACAUAUAUACGUAUGUGUGUGUGUAUAUAUCAAUUCUGCAAUUAAAAAUAAUAAUGCUAUUAUUUAUGUAAUAGCUGUUAAUAUUCUGCCAAACAUCAAUUCCAGAAGAUACACUUUAAGCAAGACUGCCUGAGACUCUCUCUUGCUGUUAUUUCUCUGCCUUCUCCAUCACUUGGUCCCACCGCAGAACCCAGUGCCAUCCAAGCUCUCCCAGUGAUGGCUGCACUGCCCUAGAUGCCACCUCCUCUCACAGAGAAGGCUCCGGCUCUCCCUCUGCUUUGCUGAGAUGCUUCCCCACCAGCCCUGAGGGGAGCCUUCCUCGCCAGUCUGCUGCCACAUUAGUCGGGUAUUCUUUCCCGUUUCUGUGGAUAUUUUUUCCUUUUCCUGAGGGUGAAGAUCUCUCCCCCAGGGUCCUUAGUUCCGGUGGAGAAAUCCUUCUACUGGUCCUCGCAGCCUCUCUGCUGUCGGCAUCACUCACACAUCCCUUGUGCCUAAUCAGCAGAAAGCGCUUUUCCGGGUAAAACGAGAAGCAAGGUCAAUGCGGAAAUCACCAGGUGUUCAGAGAGCAUGUCCUCCGUGCCCGGUUUUGUGCUGGGAGAAUGGAAUCUGGUGCCUGGGCUCUUUUAUGGCAGGGAACAUUCAUGAAUGGAGUAAACAAGCACAGAAGGGAAGUCUCAGGGAAACCAGACUUUGAAAUUUCUCCCGUAUGAGUACCUCUGACCCUCUGCUUCCCACCUUGAGUCACAGCACAAGUUCAAGUCACUUAAAAAUUGUCACUUUUACAAUAUGGCAGCUACAAAGUGACCUUAGAGAUAUUCCAGCUCGGGGUUGGCAAACAGCUGUAGGGGAGGAAGAUGUUCCCUCUACCCACUCUGUGUUCUUCUGGCUGGAGAACAAAUUAAAUUCACAUGAGACAGAAUAACAGGAGAAAAUUAGACAAAGCUUGAUAACAUGUAUGCACGGGAGAGGCUCAGGCAACCUGAGCAACUUGCCAAAAUAGCUGAAGCCACCACCUUAAAUAUCAUCUUCAGAUAAAGACAAAGGAGGAUGUUGGGGGUGAGGGGAGUCAGUUAUGGGAGGUUACCAGACAAGUACAGUAAGCAGGAGUAAGAUUUUCAUGCGGAUUUAAGUCCUUGCCUUCCACAUUGAUUACGAGUUUCUAGAGAUAAGGUCAUCCCUUCUUCUUCCUGGUACGGAGAGGGAGACACCUUUACAGAUGGAGAUUUCCUUUAUAACGUAAAUGUCUCUUAACAAAGGGUAAGUAAAUUCUACUUUUCAAAGUUUCUUUCCUGUCUGCAGUUUUUAAAAUUAACCAGCCCCAAAUAAUCCUCAUGCCAAAGAGACAUGUCUUGGGGUGGCCAAUUCCAGUCCCCCACAUAGGUUUUCUCUCCACUGCCAAAAGCAAUGGAUUGGAAGUGUGAUGACACCUGUAAGACUGAAUCUGAGCUUAUAGAGCAAGAGUAUUGUGGUCAAUUUAGUCAAGGGACUGGUCUCAGAUUGGGGUCCUUAGAAGUCCAGUGUGAGACAAGGAUUCUUGUGGAAGUGAUCUAUUGGGAGAGGACUCAGGAAGGGAGAGAAAAAAGCAGACAGGGGCAGGGGGAGAAGCCAAGCCAGGAUGUGAGCUCAGCUGAGGACUAGCCUGUCAACUGGAGCAUGGAUUGAGGUCAGGGGACUGACCUGUUGUAUGCUGGCAGUCAGUCAUUGGCUGUGGCCAGUGAGAGUGGUGAGUGCACCAGUCCUGUAAAGGGGUCUGGGCAGGGCAUCAAGAACGUCCACUACUGACAGAGAAUGAGAGAUUGAUGGCCCACUGGCUAGUUAGCAUCCUUAAUAUGGCACCGCCAGUUCAUCUUACAGGUGCUCAGAGAGAAGAACUGAAGUCUAAACUCCUCUAUACACCCGCAGAGCCCUGUGCAGUCUGGCCCUGUACUAACUUCUAGUCAUCCGCCAUGCUCGGAGCACGGCUGACAUCCAGCCCUGCCUACGCCUUGGAUUUUUCUUUUACUCAGUUUUCACUCUCUUUUCUUGGUUAACAUAAGAAACUAAUCUAAAACAAGUAUGUGGUACAAAUCUUGGCACCCAGUUAGAAACAUUUCCCCAGUGUAUCAGUCAGGAUUAAGUAUAGCUGCAAGUAACAAGCACAGCAAGGAUUCGGGCACCCUCUUGCCUCCAUGCUUUCACUCUCACAUCUCCUCUGUGGCAGACUGUGAAGUACCUUUCCUUUCUUCUCUACCAAGCAGUUUUAAGUGCCCUGUAGACUCACUUCAUAACAUUUGGAAGGAUGGGUCCGUCACAGAUUGCCGACAGGCUGUUGUAGCCCUUUUAAGAACAAUCUGAAAGGAUUUGUAGUCUCAGAGCAGAUGACCUGUGGGAGCCCAUAGAUUAUCUAACUCUUGCACUGCCAUUAUGGAUCUCCUAUAAGUACUUACAGAACUUUAGGGAUUUCUUGUAGAAUCCUACAGAUUGCCUAUGGUAAUUGUGCCAUGUUCAACAGUCAGUCAUUCGACUCUCUGAUGAGUGCUUACUGUAUGCCAGACCAUGUGUGGAGAAACCAGGUGAACAAAACUGACAAGGUCUCUACCCUUAUUCUAAGCAUAAUAAAGACAGUCAAUAUGUGGGAAGCUAAAAAACAAAUAAUUUCAGCCUGUGUUAAGUGCCAUUGAGAGUGAUUGGGGCAAAGACUCAAAAUUCAUAGGUCAAGGAAGGACUUCUCUGAGGAGGUCUGAACCGUGAGAAAGAAUCAUCCAGAAGAAGGCUUGAGAAAGGAGCCUUCUGGGCAGAAGAAACAGCAUAUGUAAUGGCCCAGAGGCAAGAAUGAGCCUGACUUAAUGGAGGAACAAAAAAAAGUGUCUUGGUGUCCAGGAAACGGUGAGUGAGCAAGCAAGAGAGUGGCGCAAGGUCAGAACACUGAGCAAGCACUAGCGAAGAAGGAAAAAAACACGGUGCUUCCUCAAGGCAGUCACAUUCUCCUUCCAUAGUCACUUGUAGAUAAUAAUAAUAAGUACUAUCACAGAUCACCUGUGGGUACCAUUAUGGUACCAUUUCAGUAUUUACAGGUGCCCUCAAAGAUCAACUAUGAUGAUAGUAUUUCACUGUGAAUUGCCUGUGGGAACGUGCUAUGUCAUCUCAAGUCAUUUGGGCUGUCAGAGAUGAUAUGCAAGUUCUUACAAUCUCAAUAUAGGUUCAUUCGUGUUUAUUUUUAGGCAAACCAUCAGUGAUGCCUCUACUGGUUGAUAGUAGCGUAAUGGGUGAUCUGAAGUCAUAGUGGCUCCAUGGCAAACCCCUCAGGUACUUCUCAAUUGCUAAACUUGCUAAGUAUGUUUGCAAUAUCACUAAGGAUUGCUUAGAGAUUAUCUUCCAACCCAAGAAUGUCCCAAAGAACAAUUUUUCUUUUACUCAGUUUUCACUCUCUUUUAUUGGUUACCAUGAAAAAUUAAUCUAAAACAAGUAUUUGGUACAAAUGUUGGCACCCAGUUAGAAACAUGUCCCCACUGUAUCAGUAAGGAUUAAGUCUAGCUGCAAGUAACAGAGACCCACAAUGAGAGUGGUUUAAACAAGAUAGAAAAUAGAAGGCUAUUUUUCUCUCAUACAAAAGUCUGAAGUCAACAAUCUACAGAGCCGAUAUGGCAAUUCUACUCCAUGAAGUCCUCAGGGAUCCAGGCUCCUUGUAGCCCUCUGCUCUGCCAUGCAAGAUGGCUCUCCAGCACAGCACACACAUUCCAAGUAGCAGGAGGGAGAAAGAAGAGAAGAAACAGUAAAGGGUGCACGGUAGUUACUUUUUGAGUAAAGUUUCAAGAAACUGUCUCAAUAUACUUCUCCUUACCAUUAACCAGAACUUAGCCACAUGGCCACAUUGCUGCAAGAAAGCUGUAAAAUACAAUCCUUAUUCUUGGUGGUCACGUGCCCGGUGGAAUAUUCUCUUACUAAGGAAGAAGGGGAAAUGGAUAAUGAGGAGCAACUGACGGCCUUUACUAUACUCAAUAUGGACACAACUCAUGUACCAGCAUUCACAUGAGUAGAAAUGCCACCACCCAAUGGUUCCCAGCCCUGGGAUGUCAGAAAACAGCAAAACUAAAUUUACAAAGGGAGAGAGUCCUAUAUAUUGUUGCCAACUUAGUUUUUCUAGUGAGGACGUGAAAAACAAUUCAAACUUAUUACCAACCAUCAUAAUCAUCUCAUAAAGAAAGAAGACUUUAGCAGAAAAAAGAAUGACUUUAAAAAUGUCUUAAAUGGAGUAAAUUUUGCUUUUGGUGAGGAGGCAAGAUAAACUCAUUUUUUUUUCAUUUUACCCCAAGGCAGUGAAAACUUUAUCACAAACCAGUAUUAUUAAUGGUGUAUUUAAUGAUGCAACCUGAAAGCAUUUCUUUAAGACAAUAUGACAUUUUCUGUUUCUAAAAGCUUCCCCCAAGUUAUAAUAAUGAAGACCAUUUACUUAGAGCCCAAACCAUUAAGUGAUGAUCGGAUCUUGAGCCAGAUUCUAUUCAUAGAUAUUGUGUUUGACCUAAUCAGUAAUUUUUUUAAAUUUUGAAUCUGUUGUCAACAUCUGAAGCUUAAGAGACUUCACAAUUAAAAAAGUUAGUUCUUGCUUCUCUUGAAAAGCGGGAAGCUCUGGCAAGUGGGGCCCUCGUUUCCACAUGAUCACUCCCAGCUGGAUGAAGCUCGGCAGCAGCUGCCCCUUAGACGGGCCUGCGCUGCCAAUUCAUUACAGGUCCCACCUGGCCAGUGCUCUCCUUGAUGCUACCUGCGAGGGCCCUGUCGAAAUCUUAGUUUGUGACUCCUAAUUUAGAGCUUCUAACGUGUGGGUAUUUGUAGCCUUAUUUCUAAACUUCACACAACCUGUAAGUUAAACAUUGUAUCUCCAUUUUUCGAGAUUGAAGAACAGAAAGGUGGGGUGACUUGCCCAAGACCGAAGAGCUAACAGCUGCCCAUCUGAAAUUUGGACCCAGGCCUUUCUGGCUCCAGGGCCGUGUGCAUUCCGCUGGGUAGCCCUGCUUUCCAGUGGGCCUAUGACCCACAUCCCUGUCAGCCCUCACAUGGGUAGAAUUAUUCAUGCCAUCUGGGCUAUACGACUUCAUUAGAUUUUAGCUGAGAAAAAUCUGAAUGUCCUGUUUGCCUUGUAGUAUUAUUUUAGACUACAUUUUGUAUUUGUUUUUAAGGGGGAAAAAAAUCCUGUGGAAGGAAUAAUGGUUGAGAGGCGGCCACAGCCAUCUAUCAUGCAGACACAGCAUGCAUUUAAACAUCUCUGAGAACAUAAAUUGGUUACUUAAUCGGCCCUAGCUAAUCCGUGGAGUGCAGAAGUCAAACUGCACUAUGGGAAACAGCUGCUGCGCGUGGCGUAGGCACGCCCAACAGAGCCCAGGGUUCUUGGGGUGGCUGCCGAGUCAGGCUCAAGGCUUCCUGACCCCCACCCUCUUCAGGCUCCAAGUGUCUCAUGGGCAGGGUUUUCAGAGCGUGAGGAGGCACUGGAUCCUUUCAUUAGAGACACAGUUCAGAAAUAAAAUGAGAAUGAAAAAUGUGCAUGUCUUCAAGCUUAUCUUCGUUCACAACUGGACUUUUAGCUGCAUUCUGAGAGCUCUCAGUCAAAUAUGGAAAAACAAAAAGUCCCACUAUCGGCUGUACUCAGGCUACACACAGGCCGGUUUUCAUCUGAAAGACUGCACAUAGAAACAUAUUUGUCUGUGACUCUAUCAACCAGAUCCACAUCUCUCAGUCUGACAAACACAGGGCCACUGCCUUCAGUCCAUGGAGCUGAGUUGACUGCUGUGCAACGGGCAGGAAUGGCCACUGGUGUCUGGAUAGCAACAAGGUACGAUCCUUGCCCUCAAGCCACUCUCAGCCUGGUACAGAAGUCACAUAGGAACAGAUCAUUCAUGUAUUCAUUCAUUGACUCAACAAACCGUUUUGGAAUGCCUCCUGUGAUCUAAGGACCAUGCUGGGUCCUAAUCCCUGUCUCCAUAAAGUUCACAUUCCAGCGGAGGGUGGGCGAGUGUUGUAUUAGCUCCCUGUGGCCUCUGUAACAAAGCCCCACAAACUUGGUGCCUUAAAACCACAUGAACUUAACAGGAGCGUCUUUCAAGCUUCCUGUGUGCUCAGAAUGAAAAGAUAGUGGGCUCAGCCCAGGAGGGAGGGCAGACCAGCAGCACCAAAGCGCCGUCGUGGAUAAAGGACUCAGAGCCAAGGGCUGAGGACACACAGGGAGCCCCUUCCAGGGAGCAUAUCAGAGGAGGCUCCUGGGCCCAGUGCUCAGCACUUUGUGGUACCCAGUAAAUACUCAUUUGUAAAUAGCGCCACCUGUGCCCCUGUCUAGAAGGAUUCUAUUUGUCCUGAGUAUGUUAUUUUUUAAAUAAAAUAGGACUUACGUUUCAAAAAAACCGAUCGCGUAUGCUGAGAUGUGUGACUGAACAAGACGUCCUAACAUCUGGAGUGCAAAAAAAGGCUGGGGCCUAUGUUUCUAAGUUUAUUUUUUGACAUAAUGCUUAAACUUUUGCAAAACAUGUUUUGUUAAAAUAGUACUGUACAUUUCUUCUGCCUUUUAGAAUUUGCGAGGUGUUUUCAUGUAACUUUAUAUAAUCUUCACAAAAAGUUUGGUGAAUAUCCUGAAUUUACAGAGGAGGAAACCAGGAUCCAUUCCUGGGGGCCAAUGGCAAGAAAAGGGAAAGGCAUGAGGAAAGACUUUCUGAUGACCUGUCACCUUUUCUCUUUACCGUGCAGUUACUGUUUGGUAAGCUUCCAGCCUCUGGUCCAGGGAUGCUGUGGGCCCUAGGCAGAGAGCCAGAGGUUCAAACAGGCUUGCUCUGAGGCCACAGGGAGAUGAGUCCUGCUGACCUGUAUCUCCAAAGACAUCCAAAUUGCAAUUUAUAUUUGCAACGUGCGUUUUUAUGACAUAUAAUUUUAUCAAGGCAGAAUUAAGCUUAAUAUCUGAAAGCUUCACAACUCAAGGGUAGAAGGAGUCAGGGAUUUACCCCAUUUGACAGAUAAGGAAACUGAGGCACAGAGGAAUCGACUUCAAGCUAAUAGAAGAGCUUAACCGUUAGGCAGUCGAAUGCAGGGGUUAGGAGCACGUGCUGUGGACUCUGUAGACCUGACAUAGAAACCUGCCUUUGCAACUUGCUCGGCUCCGUGAUGUGAAGUCGCUCAUCUUCACUGAGGCUCAGUUUCCCCUUCUGUGUCAUGAGAAUAGCAAUGUACUCUUUGAUAAGUUGUUUAA
rnacentral:lncRNA from 1 species